UACGUAGGGUGCGAGCGUUAAUCGGAAUUACUGGGCGUAAAGCGUGCGCAGGCGGUUCGUUAAGUUCGUUGUGAAAGCCCCGGGCUCAACCUGGGAACUGCAAUGGAAACUGGCGGGCUUGAGUGUGGCAGGAGGGGGGUGGAAGUUCCGCGUGUAGCAGUGAAAUGCGUAGAGAUGUGGAGGAACACCGAUGGCCGGAAGGCAGCCCCCUGGGCUGAGAUUGACGCUCAGGCACGGAAAGCGUGGGGAGCAAACACGG
rnacentral:rRNA from 1 species